rnacentral:lncRNA from 1 species
ACAGCCUCCCCUGCCCGGACCCUGAUCCAAGACCCUACCUCUGGUCCCUCAACUCUGUCCACUCAGCUCGCCGGCCUGGAUGUGGGUGGGGUUAGUGUCAGUGGUACCCUGUCCUCUCUGUCAGGCCACAACCCUGGAGAUGACUUUGACAUGUUUGCUCAGACCAGGACCAGCUCUCUGGCAGAUCAACGCAAAAGUGUGAAGUACGAGGACCCUCGAGCCCUGGGUGGGCUUGCCUCAGCUCUGGACGUCAGACAACAGAACGCCACUGGAGGGCUGAGGGUCAUAGGGGAUGAUAACCCAGAGUUGGAGCUGCCCAUAGACAGCUGGCUUAUUACCCAAGGAAUGGUGAGGACUCCAUCCUCAGUGUCCUCCCCCUAUGUCCAAUCACGCCAUCAUCCAUAUCCCCCUACACCGCUGGCACCCUAUCACCAUCCCCCCCCCAUCCAUCCCCCUGACAAUCCAUAUCCCAGCACUGCUAAACCAGCUAGCGCCAACAGUAGAAUGGAGACACGUCAGAAAAAGCCAGACGACGACUCCAAUUGUACAAUACCCACACAAUGAUGAAUAAAUAAGCUGUUAGAAUCUUAAUUUGUCCUUGUGUGCUCUGAAAGGAAUCUAAACUCCUAGGACCUCUGAGCUGGUGAAUAUGAGUUAUGCAUAUUCUGAAAACAAAUGUGGACUCCCUUCACUCUGUCCCUCCUACUGUUGGUCCUGGUCCUCUCAUCCUCCCUUCAUGGAUGACGUGAAAGGUCUGCUUGGUCCCCAGGGCCAGGUGUGGGUUUUCAUCAGUCACAAACAGUUAAUGUCUAACAGUCACACACUAAACCCAGGAGAGGUACAGAUACUUUACUGCUGCACAACAGGUUAUGUUGCCAUGGCUGUUGACAUUAUAGAAAUAUAAUCACUGGAACGGGAAUCCCCAUUCAAGUCAGUCGGUCUAGAAUGGAUAGAUUGGCGGCCAUUUUAAAAGGGAUUCUAUUUCUAUGGUUGACAUCAGAUUUGUUGUCAACAGUAUCAUUAUUGCUGAUUCGACCUGGUUCAAACGUCUGUGUAGCGAUAAGUAUCAUCAUCUCUGUCAGAUGCAUUGUCAAGCUAACGGUCUAUAGAUACAUUUUUAUUGAACUACACUGAACAAAAAUAGAAACGCAACAUGCAACAAUUGCAAAGAUGUUACUGAGUUACAGUUCAUAUGAGGAAAUUAGUCCACUUAAAUAAAUAAAUUAGGCCCUAAUCCAUGAAUUUCACAUGACUGGGAAUACAGAUAUGCAU